GGCCAGGUAGCUCAGUUGGUAGAGCAGCGGACUGAAAAUCCGCGUGUCGGGGGUUCAAAUCCCUCCCUGGCCACCA
rnacentral:tRNA from 3 species